UACUGUAAGAUAGUCCAGUAUAUUUUGUCUCCCGACAGUUCCUGUAUGCCAGUUCUACCCGAGGGACAUCUGGUUCGCGCACCCGCAGUACGCCUGCUACAGAUGCAAAUGCGAGGGAUCACCGAUAGGGGAGAUCACCAUAGAUUGCUACCCUGAUCCUGCGUGUGCCGCGCCAGUUAUCCAUGUUGAUCCGCUACCUGGACCAUCACCACACCCGUCAUGCCGCCCCUUCACCCCCGGCCUGGUGUUCCAGCAUCCGUGGGACCCGUGCCUGGAGUGCAUGUGCAUCGAGGCCUCGGCCUCCGGCAUGACCAAUGUUCAAGUCAACUGCUACACUAAGGCGGAGUGCUGUAUAAUUCCUCCAGAUCCUGGUACUUAUGUGCCAGGCCUACCACAGCCUCAGAGCACUUAC